rnacentral:rRNA from 1 species
AUUGAACGCUGGCGGCAGGCCUAACACAUGCAAGUCGAGCGAGCGGCGGACGGGUGAGUAAUGUCUGGGAAACUGCCUGAUGGAGUGGGAUAACUACUGGAAACGGUAGCUAAUACCGCAUACCAUCAGAUGUGCCCAGAUGGGAUUAGCUAGUGGGUGGGGUAACGGCUCACCUAGGCGACGAUCCCUACCUGGUCUGAGAGGAUGACCAGCCACACUGGAACUGAAACACGGUCCAGGCUCCAACGGGAGGAAGAAGUGGGGAAUAGUGGACAAUGGAGGCAAGCCUGAUGCAGCCAUGCCGCGUGUGUGAAGAAGGCUUUAGGGUUGUAAAGAACUUUCAGCGGGGAGGCGUUACCCGCAGAAGAAGCACCGGCGAACUCCGUGCCAGCAGCCGCGGUAAUAC